GAUGAACGCUGGCGGCGUGCCUAAUACAUGCAAGUCGAGCGAACAGACGAGGAGCUUGCUCCUCUGACGUUAGCGGUGGACGGGUGAGUAACACGUGGAUAACCUACCUAUAAGACUGGGAUAACUUCGGGAAACCGGAGCUAAUACCGGAUAACAUGUUGAACCGCUUGGGUCAACAGUGAAAGACGGUCUUGCUGUCACUUAUAGAUGGAUCCGCGCCGCAUUAGCUAGUUGGUAAGGUAACGGCUUACCAAGGCAACGAUGCGUAGCCGACCUGAGAGGGUGAUCGGCCACACUGGAACUGAGACACGGUCCAGACUCCUACGGGAGGCAGCAGUAGGGAAUCUUCCGCAAUGGGCGAAAGCCUGACGGAGCAACGCCGCGUGAGUGAAGAAGGUCUUCGGAUCGUAAAACUCUGUUAUUAGGGAAGAACAAAUGUGUAAGUAACUAUGCACGUCUUGACGGUACCUAAUCAGAAAGCCACGGCUAACUACGUGCCAGCCGCCGCCGUAA
rnacentral:rRNA from 1 species